rnacentral:rRNA from 1 species
UACGUAGGGUGCAAGCGUUGUCCGGAAUUAUUGGGCGUAAAGGGCUCGUAGGCGGUUUGUCGCGUCGGGAGUGAAAUCCACUGGCUUAACUGGUGGCUUGCUUUCGAUACGGGCAGACUGGAGGUAUGCAGGGGAGAACGGAAUUCCUGGUGUAGCGGUGGAAUGCGCAGAUAUCAGGAGGAACACCGGUGGCGAAGGCGGUUCUCUGGGCAUUACCUGACGCUGAGGAGCGAAAGUGUGGGGAGCGAACAGG